rfam:Schizosaccharomyces japonicus yFS275 unplaced genomic scaffold supercont5.1, whole genome shotgun sequence.
GUCACUAUGUCCGAGCGGUUAAGGAGUUAGACUUGAAUUCGUUCAGGCAUCUAAUGGGCUAUGCCCGCGCAGGUUCAAGUCCUGCUGGUGACG